rnacentral:rRNA from 1 species
UGGGGAAUUUUGCACAAUGGAGGAAACUCUGCUGCAGCGACGCCGCGUGAGUGAUGAAGAUCUUCGGAUUGUAAAACUCUGUCCUUAGUGAAGAUAAUGACAGUAACUAAGAAGCAAGCCCUGGCUAAAUACGUGCCAGCAGCCGCGGUAAUACGUAUGGGGCAAGCGUUGUCCGGAAUUAUUGGGCGUAAAGGGUACGUAGGCGGUUUAAUAAGUCCUAAUUAAAAGGCUAUGGCUCAACCAUAGUAUGGUUAGGAAACUGUUGAACUUGAGUAGAUGAGGGGAAAGUGGAAUUCCAUGUGUAGCGGUGAAAUGCGUAGAUAUAUGGAGGAACACCAAUGGCGAAGGCAACUUUCUGGAAUCAAACUGACGCUGAGGUACGAAGGCGUGGGGAGCAAACAGG